UUUAGUUCUUUUGUGAGACUCUCUUUUAAGAUAUGUUUAUUGUUUUUAAGUUCUAAUAUUUCUUUGUUCAGCCUUUCGUUAUCUUUAGUUAAGGUAUUAUUCUUUUGACUCAAGAUUUGGUUGCUAGUCUUAAGUUCUCCAUUUUCUUUAAUAAAAACAUCUUUAUCCUUAACUAAUGUAUCAUACUUACGGAGGUGAGUUUGGUUAGUUAGUUUUAAUUCUUUGUUUUUAAGGUUUAUUGUCUUGUACUCGUCCAUUAAUUCAUUGAAGGCAUCAUAUAAUUCAUCGAAAGUAAAAUCUAAAUGUGUUCCGGAUGUUACCUCAUUGUCGUUAGCCAUAAAACAAAGGUUGGCCUUUUCUUCUUGCUCCUCAUCCGAUGAUGAUGAUGAUGUGUCGGAGUCCGAUAGGGUAGAGACAAGGACUUUCUUUUUCUUGUACUUGCUCCCCUUCUUCAGCAAAGGACACUCAGCUCUGAAGUGCCCCAGCUUCUUACACUCAUAACAUCCGAUCCCCUCAUUUUCCCUUUUCUUACCUUUAUCCUUGUGAUAGGAACUUGAGGGGCCUCUCCUUUGAUGAAAGGUCUUCUUACGGUUGAUGAAUUUUCUGAAUUUUCUUACAAGGAGAGCCUCAUCAUCAUCUCCCUCAUUAUCUUCCUCUUCACUGCUACUGCUGCAAGAUAA
rnacentral:lncRNA from 1 species